rnacentral:rRNA from 1 species
GGGAUGACACAGUAGGAUAAGCUAAGCACACUGUUGGUUAUGUGUGCACAAGCAUUGAGGCAGUCAAAGUAGGCAAAUCCGCUUUGAUAAUGCUGGGAUGUGAUGGGGAGCGAAAUUUAGUAGCGAAGUAGCUGAUUUCACACUGUCAAGAAAAGUCUCUAUCGAGGUUAAAGGUACCCGUACCGCAAACCGACACAGGUGGGUGAGGAGAGUA